AAUAUAUUUUGUAGAUUCAAACAAUUUAGGAUAUAGUUGAAUGAAGUUGACAAGUUGAUGCAUGCAAAGAAGUAAGAAGAAUGACAUUCUUGUAUGCGAAAAUGAUUAUUUUCAAUUAGUGACUGAUAUCUUUUGCAAGUCUAAAAUAAAUAUAAUAUAUUUUAUUAACAAUUCGUGAAAAGUCUUUUUAUUUGAUGGCAAAAUACUACAUGGUUGUUCUUUUUUUUUGUUGCAACCAUGUAAUGAUUAAUGGUGAUAUUGUUGGUUGGUUGGUAGUCGAAUGUUAUAUGGUUAUUAUUUUUUUGGUUGCAACCAUGUAGUGAUUGAUAGUGAUACUGUUGGUUUGCUACAUGGUUACUCCUUCUUUGGUUCCAACCAUGUAGUGGUGGUUGAUGGUGAUAUUGUUUGUUGGUAGUCGAAUGCUACAUGGUUGCUCCCUCUUUGGUUGCAACCAUGUAGUGGUUGAUGGUGAUAUUGUUCAGUCGAUCAUAAAAUAUAUGAUGCAUGAAGAAUAUAAAUUAUUGAAUUGUUUUUCCUUGCUAAAAAGUUAAUAAAAAACAAUUUAUCCUAAAUACUCUUAUUUUUUUGUAAUUAUGUUGUUAAAGGGUCUAAAUUUUUAUAUAUCCUUUUAUCUUAUAUAAAUAUAUAUAUAUAUAUAUAUAUAUAUAUUA
rnacentral:sRNA from 1 species